GAGAAUGAAUAGCCGCCCUUUUCUACAAUUUCGACAAACAUAUUCAGUACGAAAAGAAAAAACAAAUUGGCAAAAGAGAUGGCUGCAAAUUUGGUAGGAAUGGCUUUUCUUCCCUACUACAGACAUUUGAUGGAGUUGCUGGAAACAAACCAAGAAAUUAAGAAAACAAGCAAAGGGAUAUUCAAGCAGAUGGCCUGGGCAGCUGGAGGCACAUGUGCGGGUGGUCUGGUAGCUGGACCCCCAGGAGCAUUGAUUGGUGGUAUUGCUGAGUCAGCCAGACCAUGAUUGAGCUUAAGGAUUGUGCUGCGGAUGCGGCCUGUGCAGUUCCGGGAGAAAGUCACUGUCUUGGGCAUUGUGGUCUGGUAUCAGGUCUGGAUGAUCCUUGCCUGACUCCGGGUUUGUGUACACCUCAAUCCGACUUCCUGUCCGGUACCGAGGCUGCAGUGGUGCAGCGCUUGUGGACGAUCCAUCAACAUCCUGAAAGGUCAACACUUCACCAAGCUGGGAAAAUUGAUCCUGAUAGUCAUCCCCAGGUAGUGGAAUGAAUGUACACUGAACUACAGAGGAAUCACACCCAAAUGACUUUCAUGACAUUAGUGUGGCCCCUCGCGUAGGAAUUCCUUAGCAAACAUGCUUUUUUGCAUGGGGACUGUGGCAUUUUUGCAAAACUUAAGCUUUCAACACUGGAUUUUAAAGAGAACACUUAAUAAAAUGUAGCUAACAGGUCUUAUUUUUAUGAGAGAGACUAUCUGGAUGAGCAACAAAUGUCACAUUGUGUCGUUAGCUGUUGAAGGAGCGAUUUGCGCCAUUUUAAGUGUUCAUUUUGGGUAGCAGGCUUGUAUUGGCUUGAAAGCUGCAAGUUAUUCCUCUCAUCAUAAUAGCAUUAUUAUUUUAACUGCAAUGUGUAUGUUUUGAUUGUAAGUGAAGCUUUUAAUAAUAAUUUUCUUGAAAAACAUGAUUUAAUAUGCUGUCAGUGAGGUUUUUUUUUGAAAAAAGUGCUUAAAAUUUUAAAAAAGUCUCCUUUUUCAUCAAAAAAAGUACACUGAUUCACAAUCAAUACAUUUAAUUGGGCCUUUUGCUGAUUUAUUGGUGAAUUUUGCAUGCAAUGAUACCAGUUUUUGCCAUAAAAGUUACGCGUAACAAUAAUUGGAGACACAAAAUCAGCUGUCGUCACUUAGACUAAAAAUCAUGCAUUCCUACUUGACUGCUGCAAAUUUAGUCACCGCUUUUAAUGGCCAUUUUAAGGCUUUUGCCCCCAUCCACAUGCACUGAAAUUGCAUAUUCAUGGUGGAAAUAGUUCAAAUCUCAUGUGGAGAAAGUUUGAAAAAGAUAGGACAAAGUUAAGUUCCCUUAAAGGUUACAUUACACUAAAUCAUUGUGUAUCCCUCCGUGGUCCAUUCGAAAGUAGUGCCUAUUUCUAAAGGGUUCCUUUUCUCUUCUUGAAUAUAAGCCAUUUAACAAUGUGAGACAUGUCUUUUGUGGUUAUUUGUUAUAUCCUGUAUGUGUUUUGGAGUACUUUGAUGCCUUGGAUUGGAAGCUAACUUAAAAGAUGAACUUUUGAGGGUGUGUUUUCUAUUGUGUGGGGCUUUUGUCGAAAUUAGGAUUCUGAAACACGUUUUUCUACGGUGGGUUCAUUUGACAGCGAUUUACUUUCUUAGAAGUUGCGAGACGGUAUGUUUUUGAUUGCAAUAAUUGGAAGAGGACAGAUCCAUCUUUCAAAUGAUACCAGGUUCGGUAAAAUUGAUACGUCGAAAAGGCAAGAAAAAUGCUGUGAAAGUUGUCAGUUUUAUAAUGGGACCCUAUGGGAAUCGGAAUUAGUGUAAUAUAACCUACAUUAAAUCGGAUGAAUACUCCUCAAUGCUGAAAAUUUUGCACAAUUUAACAGACAAAGAAAAGCCUGAAUUAGUGCGUAAAGUUCAGGAAUUGGUGGGCAGCACAGCCCUGGAGUCUCUGACCAGCUUCAUAGGGACACAGGUGCAACGAGAGCUGCUGCUUAACUGUGUGCGACAAUUUCUUGGUAAUAAAGGUGGAGGAUAGUGGAAUGUAACCUGUGAAACUCUCAUUAGUGCACUUGAAAAGUGGGGUUCUGGAAGACAUUUUCUUUUAAAUAUUCAAAGGGAACAAUGAACUUGAAAAAAUACAACUCUUAACAAAUAAUUAUUAAAUACUUUGAUUUGUAUGGUAUAUUUCCUUUUAAAGUGUUUCUUACAAUAGCUACAUGUAUAUGUUACACUUAAAAAUGAAAUUAUGAUUCCCAUUAAUUGAAUAACAAUGGCUUUUUUAAUAUCUAUAAUUCUUAAUUUAGGCAUUAUUGACAGUAUUUUUGCGUAUGAAGAAGUAAAGCAUGAACUCAUUUAUUAAUUUAAUUCAGGAAGUAUCAAUACCCUUGAACAUCUAGUACUUGUACCUUUAAAUAUUGAGUUAAGUACCAGUACCCUAUACUUUUGAUUGCCAGUGCCUUUUAACAUUAGUACUCACAAGAACAUUGAACACAUAAUCAUAGCUUUUAUAAUAGUUUAGGGUGAUACUUUUUGAUAAUACAGAAUUCAUUUAAGUUUGCAUGAUGACAUUGAUAACAUGUUUGUGUUACCACUACACAAAGUAUUGCUCAUUAAAUCAAGUACCAGCAGACCAUGUUUAGGGCCUUUCCCCAGGAUUUAUUUAAGGCUAAGAGACAAAGAGCCGCAAUUGCAAUAAGUUCUAUUUUUAAUUUGAUUUGCCUUAAAUUGUUGUCUUCAUUACGUUAAAGCUAAAAUGAGCACAGAAAGAUGAUAUUUGUAAAAUAAGUCACAGCGGAGCCACUGUUUUUGAAAAUCAGCCACUAGGUUGCCCCUGCGCUUAAAUACUGUGGGUAAAGGCCUGUCCAUACCAUUAAUGUAAUCUGAUUUAACAAAGUGCAUAUACUUGUUAUGCAUGAAUACACGUUAAGAAACAU